GAUGAACGCUGGCGGCGUGCCUAAUACAUGCAAGUCGAGCGAACGGACGAGAAGCUUGCUUCUCUGAUGUUAGCGGCGGACGGGUGAGUAACACGUGGAUAACCUACCUAUAAGACUGGGAUAACUUCGGGAAACCGUAGCUAAUACCGGAUAAUAUUUUUAACCGCAUGGUUCAAAAGUUAAAGACGGUCUUGCUGUCACUUAUAGAUGGAUCCGCGCUGCAUUAGCUAGUUGGUAAGGUAACGGCUUCCCAAGGCAACGAUGCAUAGCCGACCUGAGAGGGUGAACGGCCACACUGGAACUGAGACACGGUCCAGACACCCACGGGAGGCAGCAGUAGGGAAUCUUCCGAAAUGGGCGAAAGACUGACGGAGCAACGCCGCGUGAGUGAUGAAGGGCUUCGGAUCGUAAAACUCUGUUAUUAGGGAAGAACAUAUGUGUAAGUAACUGUGCACAUCGUGACGGUACCUAAUCAGAAAGCCACGGCUAACUACGUG
rnacentral:rRNA from 1 species